UCGCAAUAGCGAUUGAGGCGGCAUCCCCACCUACGCGUAGCGCUAUGGUGGGAUAUAGCCGAAAGCGCGACCGUAA
rnacentral:sRNA from 1 species